rnacentral:rRNA from 1 species
UACGAAGGGGGCUAGCGUUGCUCGGAAUCACUGGGCGUAAAGGGUGCGUAGGCGGGUCUUUUAAGUCAGGGGUGAAAUCCUGGAGCUCAACUCCAGAACUGCCUUUGAUACUGAAGAUCUUGAGUUCGGGAGAGGUGAGUGGAACUGCGAGUGUAGAGGUGAAAUUCGUAGAUAUUCGCAAGAACACCAGUGGCGAAGGCGGCUCACUGGUCCGGUACUGACGCCGAGGUGCGAAAGCGUGGGGAGCAAACAGG